UACGAAGGGGGCUAGCGUUGUUCGGAAUUACUGGGCGUAAAGCGCGCGUAGGCGGAUUUUUAAGUCAGGGGUGAAAUGCCAGGGCUUAACCUUGGAACUGCCUUUGAUACUGCAAGUCUGGAGUACGGGAGAGGUGAGUGGAACUGCGAGUGUAGAGGUGAAAUUCGUAGAUAUUCGCAAGAACACCAGUGGCGAAGGCGGCUCACUGGCCCGAUACUGACGCUGAGGCACGAAAGCGUGGGGAGCAAACAGG
rnacentral:rRNA from 1 species